GCUCUCUUGUAUGUGCAGCUCUUGGAAUCUCCUGAAAUAAAUAAUGAGCACAAAAAAAGGGAGAUGAAUUACCACUGAUGCUCUCCUGGGACAGAGAAGCCUUCUGAGCUGCCUCCAGAGCAAGCCAUCCUCCCAGCUGCCUGAGCCAGAAACAGACUAUCCUUGAUUGAUUGAUUACAUCGCACAUCUGAUCAAUCACCACAUUUUGUCCAUUCUAACUUUCAGGUAUCUCAAGAAUACAUUUGCUUCCCUCUGUUCUCAGUUCAGCCACUAUCAUCUUCCAUUGAGAUACUACAGCAAUUUCA